CGGACGGGUGAGUAAUGUCUGGGAAACUGCCCGAUGAGGGGGAGUAACUACUGGAAACGGUAGCUAAUACCGCAUAAUGUCUGCGGACCAAAGCGGGGGACCUCCGGGCCUCGCGCCAUCAGAUGAACCCAUAUGGGAUUAGCUAGUAGGUGGGGUAACGGCUCACCUAGGCGACGAUCCCUAGCUGGUCUGAGAGGAUGACCAGCCACACUGGAACUGAGACACGGUCCAG
rnacentral:rRNA from 1 species